GAAUUUCUGGGGUGCACGGAAUAAGGUUCUGGUCCUUUGACCAACGUUUUUAUUGACCUUGUCCCUAUGUGAAGAGAUGGUGAGCAAGCCGGCCCACGAGCAGGACGCCUGAAAUCCCUUCCGGAGACUAAAGUUUCGACUAGGUCAAUCGUGCAGAACCUGCCGGCAUCCCGGAGAGUUA
rnacentral:other from 1 species